rnacentral:rRNA from 1 species
AGAGUUUGAUCCUGGCUCAGAACGAACGUUGGCGGCGUGGUUGAGGCAUGCAAGUCGCACGAGAACGAGGUAGCAAUAUCUCUAGUAAAGUGGCGGAAGGGUGAGGAAUGGGUAGAUAACGUACCCAGGAGAUGGGAAUAACGACUCGAAAGGGUCGCUAAUGCCCGAUAAGACCACGGCGCAAGCUGAGGUCAAAGGCCGGGGAUCUUCGGACCUGGCGCUCUUGGAUCGGUCUGCUUCCUACCAGCUAGUUGGUGAGGUAAUGGCUCACCAAGGCCUCGACGGGUACCCGGGCUGAGAGGCUGAUCGGGCACAUCGGCACUGAGACACUGGCCGGACACCUACGGGUGGCUGCAGUUCGGAAUAUUCGGCAAUGGACGAAAGUCUGACCGAGCGACGCCGCGUGCGGGAUGAAGGCCCUAUGGGUUGUAAACCGCUUUCGCGAUUAGGUAAAUCACAAUUUUCUAACAAAAGGUUGUGUUGAAUAAGGAUCGUAAAGAAGCCCCCGCUAAUCACGUGCCAGCAGCGGCGGUAAUACGUGAGGGGCGAACGUUGUUCGGUGUCACUGGGCUUAAAGGGUGCGUAGGUGGUUGCGUAAGUAAGGUGUGAAAUCCCUCGGCUUACCCGGGGAAUUGCAUUUUAUACUGCGUGGCUUGAGGACUAAAGGGGAAAAGGGAACUCCAGGUGUAGCGGUGAAAUGCGCAGAUAUCUGGGGGAAGGCCGGCGGCGAAGGCGCUUUUCUGGUUAGUACCUGACACUGAGGCACGAAAGCGUGGGGAGCAAACAGGAUUAGAUACCCUGGUAGUCC